AGGUGAGUUCGGAGAGAUAUAUCUGAUCGUGAACCUCUUAUCCCUUUUGAUUUCGGUUUUCACCCUAAGAAGGGGCGGUAGAAGCUCUAGUCUUGGUUGCUGUCCAUCGAGGCUGGUGCUGAAAUUCUUAUUUUGUCCAUCGAGGCUGGUGUUGAAAUUUGAGGUGUGGUAAGUCCGACGUAGAUAAGCGGCAGCACCGAGGUAUCUUGUAAGCUUCCCAUAGAUAAGGGAGCAGAGCACCGUGUUUACUUUCAGCUUUGCUUAAGGAGUACCAUAAGUCGGGUGUAGAUCAGCCGCAGGUACUCAUUCUAUCAUGGGCUCUUCACAGUCAGUGAUCACUGCAUUACAGGCAGUGCUAAAGCAACGCGAUCUGCAGGUCACCUCCCA
rnacentral:lncRNA from 1 species